GUGAGGAAUAUUGCGCAAUGGGGGAAACCCUGACGCAGCAACGCCGCGUGGGUGAAGAAGGCCCUCGGGUUGUAAAGCCCUGUCGGGUGGGAAGAAAACUCCCGUGACGAAUAAUUGCGGGAACUGACGGUACCACCGGAGGAAGCACCGGCUAACUCCGUGCCAGCAGCCGCGGUAAGACGGAGGGUGCAACCGUUGUUCGGAAUCACUGGGCGUAAAGCGCGUGUAGGCGGUCGGAUAAGUCGGAUGUGAAAUCCCGGGGCUCAACCCCGGAAGUGCAUUCGAAACUGUCAGGCUAGAGUACGGGAGAGGGAAGUGGAAUUCCUGGUGUAGAGGUGAAAUUCGUAGAUAUCAGGAGGAACACCGGUGGCGAAGGCGGCUUCCUGGACCGAUACUGACGCUGAGACGCGAAAGCGUGGGGAGCAAACAGGAUUAGAUACCCGGGUAGUCC
rnacentral:rRNA from 1 species